UACGGGGGGGGCAAGCGUUGUUCGGAUUUACUGGGCGUAAAGAGCGCGCAGGCGGUCGUUCAAGUCGAGUGUGAAAGCCCCCGGCUCAACUGGGGAGGGUCAUUCGAUACUGAUCGACUCGAAGGCAGGAGAGGGAAGCGGAAUUCCAGGUGUAGCGGUGAAAUGCGUAGAUAUCUGGAGGAACACCGGUGGCGAAGGCGACAUCCUGGACCGGUAUUGACGCUGAGGCGCGAAAGCCAGGGGAGCAAACGGG
rnacentral:rRNA from 1 species